rnacentral:lncRNA from 1 species
GUUACUCGUCCUUCAAGAGAUAGAGUCAAUUUCCAUUUCCUUCAACUGAGAAGGGCCUUUGUGACUGCCUUGAUGAACAGAAUGAGGUGAAAUUGAGGCUACACAUGAUUUCCAAGGUUAGGUCAUAAAAUAAGACAGCUCCUGCCUGCCUCUGUUCCUCUUGGGACAUUCAUCUUGUAAGAAGUCUAGCUACCCUUAAUUCAGCAUGCUGGAGAGACCCUGUGGAGAGGGCUCACAGGAAUAGAUGUCUCAGGAGCCUCAGCUGUGACAGUUCCCAGCAAUGCAAGAACCGCCUAAUACAGAUGAUUACAACAUCCUGCCUUCAGAUGCCCUGGCUGUUGCUGAUAGACCAGAGACAAGCCAUCCCUGCUGAGCACUACCCUUAUUCCAACUUCAUAAGUAAAUAAAUUUUGCUACUUUGGAGUGGCUGGUUUGAAACCAUAGACAUCCAG